ACGAGUUAGGGUCUUCUAGGCCCGACCUCCCAACCCUUUGUCUACUGACCAUCUGUUGCUUCGGCGGACCCGUCUCACGACCGCCGGAGGACCGCCAUUAGGCAUCCUCUGGCCAGCGCCCGCCGACGGCCAACCAUCAAAUUCUGAAUAAAUCGUGUCAUCAUGUCUAAGUCUAUGAUUAAAUUAAAGCA
rnacentral:misc_RNA from 1 species